rnacentral:rRNA from 1 species
AACAAACGCUGGCGGCGUGCCUAAUACAUGCAAGUCGAACGGGGAAAGCUUUCGGGUGAGUACUAGUGGCGCACGGGUGAGGAACGCGAGGAUAAUCUGCCUUAGAGUGGGGAUAACUAGUCGAAAGAUUAGCUAAUACCGCAUAAGACCACAGGAGCUGCGGCUCAAGGGGUCAAAGGUUUUUCGCUCUAAGAUGAGUCCGCGUAAGAUUAGCUAGUUGGUGAGGUAACGGCUCACCAAGGCGACGAUCUUUAACUGGUCUGAGAGGAUGAUCAGUCACACUAGAACUGAGACACGGUCCAGACUCCUACGGGAGGCAGCAGUAGGGAAUAUUGCACAAUGGAGGAAACUCUGAUGCAGCGACGCCGCGUGAGUGAUGAAGGCCUUCGGGUCGUAAAGCUCUGUCGCAGGGGAAUAACACAAUGAAGGUACCCUGUAAGAAAGGAUCGGCUAACUUCGUGCCAGCCGCCGCGGUAAUAC